rnacentral:hammerhead_ribozyme from 1 species
AUCCAGCCAACGAGUCCCAAGCAGGAUGAAACGCGCGUCAAACUGGAU